rnacentral:rRNA from 1 species
GACGAACGCUGGCGGCGUGCUUAACACAUGCAAGUCGAACGGAAAGACCCUGAUCUUGCGGGGUGCUCGAGUGGCGAAGGGGGGAGUAUAACGCGAGUAACCUGUACCUGUCAGUGUGAUAACACUACGAAAAACGGGCUAUUACCGCAUAGGAGCUCUUGCUGCAUGUUGGGCGAUGGUAAGUUUCGGCGGUGGUGGAUGGAUUCGCGGGUUAUCAGCCUGUUUGUGGGGUAGGGGAUUCCCAAGGCUAUGACGGGUAGCCGGCAUAGGAGGGUGACCGGCGACAUGAGGCCUGAGAUAGGGACCAGACGGCAAUGGGAGGCAGCAGUGGGGAACAUUGCAGAAUGGGCCGGAGCCUGAUGCAGCAACGCUGCGUGCGUGAAGACGGGCUUCGGGUGGUAAACCGCUUUGGCCUGAGACGUGGCGUUAGUGACGGUAAUUAGUAAAGAAGCACCGGCUAACUACGUG